GGGGCGGUAGCUCAGUGGGAGAGCACUUGCUUGACGCGCAAGGGGUCAGAGGUUCGAUCCCUCUUCGCCCCACCA
rnacentral:tRNA from 1 species